GACGUAGGAUGCAAGCGUUGUCCGGAAUUAUUGGGCGUAAAGAGUUCGUAGGCGGCAUAUCAAGUCUAGUGUUAAAGCCCGGGGCUCAACUCCGGUAGGGCACUGGAUACUGAUAAGCUAGAGUGUAGUAGAGGCAAGGGGAAUUCCCAGUGUAGCGGUGAAAUGCGUAGAUAUUGGGAGGAACACCAGUGGCGUAAGCGCCUUGCUGGGCUAUAACUGACGCUGAGGAACGAAAGCCAGGGGAGCAAAUGGG
rnacentral:rRNA from 1 species